AGAGUUUCGGCUUCAUAAUCAGCAGGAAAUGGCUGUGGAAUCAGUGAGGAAGAACACAAGUGUUGUGAGUGUGCACUUUUGGGAAGACUGUGCCGCUGGAAGCAGGAAAGAAAAACAAACAAUCGCUGACCCUCCAAGAAGCUUUUGAGAAAUUUAGGAAGAAGCGUCAGUGGCUUACGCACGCGUGUACUCAUCACACCAUGCAGUGAUCCAAAUCGUGCCAAUAAUUUUCUGAGAUAUUCAACUCUUCUUUCUGAAACACAAAGAUGCUACCUGACCUGAGCACUUCCAGCAUUUUCUGUCAUAUAUUACUUUUAUGUCUGAGCAAUAAAAUGCUGUGGAUUACCAAGGAUAAUGAAUUUUUGUGCAGCUCACCAUCAAAAAGUAACCACAUAAACCCCUUGUUCAGUGAGGAUACAUGUCAACUAACUAUAAAUGAGCUGACUGCUGUUAAUAGAAUCAUACCUAUUGUAGUUGAAAACAUAAAUCAGAAUGUACUGCUAAGUGCUAUUAGUACAGAAAGUAUAUUUACUAUGCUACCUUUGCUGUACCGUAUCAUAUUACCUGCUAUUCCAUUGUUCACCUAAUUGUGCUACGUGUCUCAAUUUUACAAUAAAUGAGAAAAGAAUAUUCCACACCCCAAUUUUAAUUUUCUGUUCAUGAUCCUGAUUUUACAUAUGGCAAGAUGGUGGAGAGUUUCAGGAAAUUAUUUCUCUCUCUCCUUUUCAAUGGUGUGAUUCCCUUCAGCCCUUCUCUCUGGUAGAUGCUUCCCUGAAUCAAUUUAUUUUAGUUUGUUCAUAUUUUAUUUCAUGUAUGUAUUGAUUGUUCUGGGACUUAGUGCUAAGCUCUUUACUGAAUAAUGCAAUCUAGUGAAUCCUGUUUGCUUUUACAAUGAUGUCUUGGCUGUUAUUAUUCACUUCUGAUGCAUUGCUUUUAUGGUUCUAUGCUAAUUGUUUGUAUCUGUAUCUUGCACUAAUAUGUAUUUGCAUAAUUUAUAAUUUCAGGAAUACUAUAAGUUCCAUUAAUAUACACUAUAAUAAUUAAUAUUUAGUGUCCAAGUUCUAAUAUCUCUCUCUUUAGUCAUUUUUUUGACUUUUUUGUUGCAUGAUUCCUGUAGCUAGAGACUAAAUACUCUCAUUUCAAUUGAGUGUCAGGUUUGCCAAUUUUGAGAUAUCAUCUACUUACUUCAACCCUUCAUGUCUGUAGCUGAAUCUUUCUCACCUACUAAUUCAAUCCAUGGGUCCAGCAGGCAUACAGCUCAAAUUCUGCCCUCAGUUUAUGAUGCCAUCUGACCCCUUAAUCCCCACUGUUUUGCAAUGCAAAUGUGUUGUCUGGUAAGUUCAAUUAAACCUGCAAUAAUUAGUCAUUUUGUGGACAUAGCAACAUAUCAGAGGACUGAUAGCAGAUGUUAAUUAGCCUCACUGUGUGUCUGCUUCACCAUGGAGUACAACCACAUUUGGACAAGUAAUUUGUUUUUUCAUUAGUGGUGUCCACUUUCCUGAGGAUGGCACCAUUUAAUGAAAAAGGACAACUUCUGCUGGCAAAUCAGUUGACCAAAAACAAAAUAAACCAUCACCUUCAACCCUCUCCCCCCACUCAAACAACUUAUUUGCCUCCCACCUAAAACUGAAGCAGUACAAUGGGUAUCCAGGAGUGAUUACCAGGGAUCUUGAUGACAACAUAAACCAAUCUUAAAGGCAAUUAGGGAUGAGCAAUAAAUGCUAGCCUAGCCAUCAGCGCCCACAUCCUAUGAAUGAAUAAAAAAAACCGAGAAUGAAGUACAAUGCACCAUAACCAUCACCUAAACCCAAAAUGAGCCUGCCAUCUUGCAAUCACAGUGGUGGAUUUUUAAUUUUUUUAUUAUGCAACAGUAGAUCUCCCUUAGUAUUAUACACAGAGAUAAUCUUGGUUCUCAAGCAUGUUUAUGAUGUUUAACUGCUAAGCUGACGCGUGCUUUUGAGCACAUUGCUUUAAAUAGCUAAAUCCAUUACUUAUAAACUAUUGAGGUUAAUCAUCGGGCAUUUGUAACAGUUUGGAAAUUUCAGGCUCUGGGUUAAUGACUAGCUUACUUGUUUUUUUAAAGCCGUGGUUUGUAAUAAAGAGAAUAUCUGCUUUGUAGAAA